rnacentral:rRNA from 1 species
UACAGAGGGUGCGAGCGUUAAUCGGAAUUACUGGGCGUAAAGGGCGCGUAGGCGGUUAGUUAAGUUAGAUGUGAAAUCCCUGGGCUUAACCUAGGAAUGGCAUCUGAAACUGGCUAGCUGGAGUGCGGUAGAGGGUAGUGGAAUUUCCGGUGUAGCGGUGAAAUGCGUAGAUAUCGGAAGGAACACCAGUGGCGAAGGCGGCUACCUGGACUGACACUGACGCUGAGGCGCGAGAGCGUGGGGAGCAAACAGG